rnacentral:tRNA from 1 species
ACCUGAGUGGCUUGGUUGGUUAAGCGUCUGACUUUGGCUCAGGUCAUGAUCUCACGGUUUGUGGGUUUGAGCCCCACAUCAGGCU